UACGUAGGGUGCGAGCGUUAAUCGGAAUUACUGGGCGUAAAGCGUGCGCAGGCGGUUUCUUAAGUCAGAUGUGAAAGCCCCGGGCUUAACCUGGGAACUGCGUUUGAAACUGGGAGACUGGAGUGUGGCAGAGGGGGGUGGAAUUCCACGUGUAGCAGUGAAAUGCGUAGAUAUGUGGAGGAACACCGAUGGCGAAGGCAGCCCCCUGGGUUAACACUGACGCUCAUGCACGAAAGCGUGGGGAGCAAACAGG
rnacentral:rRNA from 1 species